CCAGCCCGCUCAGAAACUCAAAUGAAUUGACGGGGGCCCGCACAAGCGGUGGAGCAUGUGGUUUAAUUCGAUGAUACGCGAGGAACCUUACCUGGGCUCAAAUGUAUGUUGACGUAUUCUGAAAGGGAUACUUCUUCGGACAAUAUACAAGGUGCUGCAUGGUUGUCGUCAGCUCGUGCCGUGAGGUGUCGGGUUAAGUCUCAUAACGAGCGCAACCCCUAUCAUUAGUUGCCAUCAGGUCAAGCUGGGGACUCUAAUGAAACUGCCUACGCAAGUAGUGAGGAAGGUGGGGAUGACGUCAAAUCAGCACGGCCCUUACGGCCUGGGCUACACACGUGCUACAAUGGUCGGUACAAAGGGUUGCCAAGCCGCGAGGUGGAGCUAAUCCCAUAAAACCGAUCGUAGUCCGGAUCGCAGUCUGCAACUCGACUGCGUGAAGUCGGAAUCGCUAGUAAUCGUGAAUCAGAAUGUCACGGUGAAUACGUUCCCGGGCCUU
rnacentral:rRNA from 1 species